GAGGGUUAGACUGUCUCCUUUUUCAAAUCAGUGAAAUUAAUCUCCCCGUGAAGAAGCGGGGAUGCUCUUAUAAGACGAGAAGACCCCAUGGAGCUUCAAACCCAACUACACCCCUAACUCUUAUAGCCUCACAACCCCCCUAGGCGCCGUGUGCUUGGUUUUAGGUUGGGGCGACCGCGGAGUACAAUAAAACCUCCACAAUGAAUGGGACCACCCCCUUAUCUGAGGGCCACACCCCUAAGAAUUAGAACACUAACAUAAAAUGAUCCAUUACUUGAUCAAUGAACCAAGUUACCCUGGGGAUAACAGCGCAAUCCAUUUCAAGAGCCCCUAUCGACAAAUGGGUUUACGACCUCGAU
rnacentral:rRNA from 1 species